ACUACCAUCUACUCCGAUUUUUCUCUCUCGCAGUGCGUUUGUGACUCUCGUUACUUCCGCCAUUCACAUUCACACUCGCAAGCUGUUAUUAUUAAUUGACGGAAUCUUCAAUCUUUCAACUUCAUCUGAUGCUUUUUGCGCAGUAGAUCGGAAUGAAUGGGUCCAUAAAAUAAUUCAAAUUCAUCCAUCUGCUCAGCGCUCACUUUGUCAGCUGUGUAUUUUUGUGUUACUUGUUGAUAGUUAAACGAUGGAAAACCUUGUAAUACUAUGUGUUAUAUUUACUUUAGUAACUAGAGCAUUUUUGGAGGUGCGAUGAGUUGCGCUUUCCACGCGAGAUUUCUGACUAGUUACAACAAUAGAUAGAUCAAAACUGUGGUGUGUCAGUCAUGCUGAUCUUAUAAGAUGACUGUUGGUGCUCCAUCAGGUUUAAAGCGAGAGAUUGAGAGAAGAUGAUGAAGAGGAGGGAUUGAGAGAAGAGCAGCGGUGGUGAUGGAGCGCCGACGGUCAUCUGUGGAGGAGAGGAGGGGUGUUCUUCAGGAGGAGAGGAAGAGCAGUGGUGAUGGAGGAAGAAAGAGAGAAACAGAUAGGAAUAAAAGUGGUUGAGGGAGGGUUUGGUGAUAUAACCAAGAAUGAGUGAAUAAACAAAUGCUUUAAGAAAGAUGUGUUUGAAGGUUUAGGCUUUAAUAUUGUUGUAGGCUCGUUGGAACUUAAUAAUGUCUUGUUUAUGUUUUGUGAUAAGAUGCGUAAAUGAUGCUUUAGCUGUGCUUAUCCUAAUGACAAAGUUGUGGUUUAAUCUUAUACAUUUAUGGGUAUAUGGGGGGGUUAAAUUUUUGAAUUUACUAUAGGGCACUAAAGUGACUGAACUUAGUCUAUGCUGCUUAGGAUAAUGACUCUUGGUGGUAGUAUUAAACACUGUCAUAAGAUUUUUUUCUUCUUCGGAUGUAUGGCCAUCAACUAUGAUUCCAUUGCAACUUAAAACACUGGUAUGAACUUAUUUUUAAAUUUGAUACAUAAGUGGUUCCUAUUGUUGUUUUUUGAGAUUGCAUAUAUUGGGUUUGUUGAGGGUGAAGGCUCUAUCCUUCCACUUGUGUAUACGAAUGAUGCUCACAGUACAAACUAGUUGAUUUAUCAAUUGGUAUCAACUGUGUUUGGCUUCUAUUAUGACUUGGUAUGCAUAUGAAAUUCCUUUUAAUGGACUUUUAAUCUUUAUAUCCCCGGAGCAUUGUAUUUUCUGGUUUAUUGUGCAAAUUGAGAAUCUGGUUUAUUGUGCAAAUCAGAACUGCCCGCAUGUUGUCUGUUUGAGGUCAGUUAAGAUAACUGUUUGGUUGGAAAUAUUGGUUAACAUCACAUUAUCCUUUUUAGGCACCUCAUUUUGAGUAAUCAAUAGCGAUUAAUUGCCUGUUCAUUUUUCAUAGCUUUGAUGUGGGUACUACCAAGAUGAUAAUCCAAAGGCUUGUUUCUCAAGAAUAUUCGCAGUUGCCUCCUAAGAGCUUUCUCUUUUGCCGGGCUUGAGAGCUUAUGCUGCUUUAUUCCUUCCUUGGAUGUCUGAGACUCCAAUUUAUGCAAAUGUUUAAACAAGAUCAUGAACCUUGCAUGUUACUGGCUUCCUCUUUCUCAAACACUUUGGAGUUGGACACUCUAGCACCGAAAACAGUAAUCUGAGAUGGUGAACGUUUCGACCACAUCAGAACCUAUUGAUGCAGAGGCAACUGUGUUUGGGGGAUACUUGUUUCUUUUAUGCGGCUCCAUUUCCUUUUUGUUGUUUCUCUUUUCGGCGAUAAUUUCCAAGCUUCUUCCACCAUCUAGCAAUCAAAUAGUAUCAGCUGUUCAGAAUGACAGGUACUACUGUUUCCUGGUGCCGUUGACUCUUCCUGUUCUCGUGGUGGCUGUGUAUUUCCAUUGGCUCAGCAUGAAACUUUUUAAACAUGCAUGAGUUCAGUAUAGAUGAUGACUCAGAUAUAAUUAUGGAAUGAGGCCAGGAGAAAGUGAAGUGUUUGAUUCAAGACAGUAUUCUGCUGAGAUUAGGUUGUGUCAAAGGAUAGCAUUUGGUAGUCGGGAUUACGGUACUGUUUUUUUUAGUCGAGGUAGCUAUAGUUGGGAGUACCCUGCCAUUGACAAUCAUCAUAAAGAGGGAGGGAGAGACUGGUUUUGAAUUCUAGAUUUUUGAAGUAGCAGAGUAAGAUGUUUACCUGAGGUAAACCCGUUCAUUUAGUUGUACAUGUUGUAUGCCUGGCAAGUAGGAUCUGUUUAUAGGUUAGGAGACCUGGCUCCUGGGUGUGAAGCUCUGAGUAAGAUCUCCUUGCCAGGUUCUAUAAUUUAUUUUAUUUUUUUGCUCAAUCAAUGUAAACAUUUUAUUAACAAUGAUCAACACAAAAACAAUACAAAAAGAGCCAUUUAAGGCCUAAAAGGGAAAAAUACAAAAAUUAACAGAACCUAUAGUAGGUCUGAUAUGGAGAUUCUAAA